AGAUGAAAUUUAAAAAAAAAAAAAGGCAUAGUAGAAUAAAGAUGAAAAACAGCAGACAUCCAGUCUAAACAUUUAAGGUAACAGAGUCAGGGACAGUACGUCUUACAAUCAUCACACCCUUUUCACAGUGUCUAGAAAAAUAAUCAGGUAGAGCCAUCAUAGUUCCACUCGCCCUACCCAACGUUUUAACAUAUCAUAUGCAUAAACAACUGAGGAAAGACUGGCAUCAAAUGCCAGAAACUAUACAGCUAAUUUUUCCACCAAGUGUUUCACCGCAUAUUUUCUCUGCGACGUACAUAUCGGGUUCUAUCAUUGUAUCUGGGUCUGUCGUUAGCUCUUUGUGGCUGUGGUUCCACCCUUCUCUGUCUUUCAGGUGAUCUUUGAACAAUCUCUCCAUUCACGAACAACUCAGCUACAACAUGAACAAGAUGUGCAAAAUUUAUAACAAUCAUCAUGAGGGACUACCACAAUGGCUAACACUUUUUCCAACUUGAAACUUGCAUACAAAUAAUACACUACUUCAACAGUAAAUCCUAUACCAAUUUUUAUUUAACUACCAUAACGUGCUUAUUCAAUGUAAAAGUAUAAACAAAAUUUUAAAACAAGAAUGAACUUCAAAGAAUUAAAAUUCAUGUCUCAUCUCCAAUGAUUCUGCAGCUCCAUUUAGUACAAGGAGUACAGUACAGAACAGGUGAGAGAAGUUUAUUGUGAGUCCAUUAGCAUUCAAAGCUAGACAUUACCCAGUAGGGGUUAUUAGCUUUGCCAAGAUGGACCACAAUGGAAAACAAUAGUUACCAAAAAAAAAAAAAGGACACUCACAAUAAAUGCAUGAGCCGCAAGUCUAAAAUCAAAGAAUCUUAACUAAAACAGUUCUAUAUCUCAACAAAAUACAGAACACAUGGUACAAAGAUAAAAGGGGUAAUGCGAAAAAUUUGAUUCUGAUCCUCUAAGAGUUAAAGCAACAUAUUGCCCCUCAAGGCCACUGUCAUUGCCAGAUAAGAUGAGGUGAAAAUGGAGGCAAAAAAACUCCCCAACAUAAAAAUAAAGGAUGGAGAAGGGGCUGUAAUUAGGAUGUCCACCAAAACAUGAUGGCACGGCCAGCUCCCCUCAACUCAACACAAAUAAGAAAAGACAAAAAAGGAGGUAAUUAGAUCAGUGUAUAGUAAGACACAGGUAAUUAUGCUUUUGACAAGGAAAUAAUUGCAUCAUUCACCUAUAAACACAAACAAAUGUUGUGAUAAUCCUAUUUGACCCCCACUGAUCAGCAGCUUCACAGUGUAUACAAAACAAAUAAUGGUUUAGAGAGAUCAUUUUAUGCUAGAUUGCCCGCAAACCUCCUUCAGCUUUGCCAAGAUGGACUGUGCAUUAAAGGAAAAUUCAAUUAUACAGUCACAUCAUUUCAUAUUUCAUAUUCGAUAGAAGUAGAAACAACUGCACUCCCUUUUGUGAAAAUUAGCAUCGAUCUCUUUAUGAUUCAUCUAUAAACACAAUCAAAUGUUGCACAGUUAUGUUUGAUCUCUACUGAUCUGAACCUUCACAGAAUAUAAAAAGUACAGAACAGUUUAGAGAGAACAUUUGGUGUAAGUCCAUUAGCAUUCAAAGCUCAUCAUUGCCUGCAAGACUCAUUAAGCUUUGCCAAGAUGGACUGCAGAUUAAAGGAAAACCAAUUACAAAAUCACAUCAUUUCCUAAUCCAUAUUGCAUAAAAGUAGAAGCACUGCACUGCCUCUUGUCAAAAUCAAGACUGAUUAACAUUGAUUUCAUCAUUCAUCUAUAAACUCACAAACAAAGAC
rnacentral:misc_RNA from 1 species